CUUGACGAACAUAGAGCAUUGGAACCACCUGAUCCCAUUCCGAACUCAGUAGUGAAACGAUGCAUCGCCGAUGGUAGUGUGGGGCCUCCCCAUGUGAGAGUAGGUCAUCGUCAAGC
rnacentral:rRNA from 1 species